GACGAACGCUGGCGGCAUGCCUAAUACAUGCAAGUUGAACGAUGAUAUUCUCUGCUUGCAGAGAAUUGAAGAGUAGCGAACGGGUGAGUAACACGUGGGGAACCUGCCCAUGAGAGGGGGAUAACAUUCGGAAACGGAUGCUAAUACCGCAUAAUGCUUUGGACCGCCUGGUCCAGAGACGAAAGACGGCUUUUGCUGUCACUCAUGGAUGGCCCCGCGCCGUAUUAGCUAGUUGGUGAGGUAAUGGCUCACCAAAGCUGUGAUACGUAGCCGACCUGAGAGGGUGAUCGGCCACACUGGGACUGAGACACGGCCCAGACUCCUACGGGAGGCAGCAGUAGGGAAUCUUCCACAAUGGGCGAAAGCCUGAUGGAGCAAUGCCGCGUGAAUGAAGAAGGUCUUCGGAUCGUAAAGUUCUGUUAUUAGAGAAGAACAAGUCAAGGAGUAACUGUCUUGACUUUGACGGUACCUAAACAGAAAGUCACGGCUAACUACGUG
rnacentral:rRNA from 1 species